rnacentral:rRNA from 1 species
UACGUAGGUGGCAAGCGUUGUUCGGAAUUACUGGGCGUAAAGGGCGCGUAGGCGGUUCGUUAAGUCCUGUGUGAAAUCCCCCGGCUCAACUGGGGAACUGCACAGGAAACUAGCGGGCUUGAGUUCGGGAGAGGGAAGCGGAAUUCCGGGUGUAGCGGUGAAAUGCGCAGAUAUCAGGAAGAACACCAAUGGCGAAAGCAGCUUUCUGGGACGGUACUGACGCUGAGACGCGAAAGCGUGGGGAGCGAACAGG